AAUGGGCGAAAGCCUGACCCAGCAACGCCGCGUGAAGGAAGAAGGCUUUCGGGUUGUAAACUUCUUUUGGCAGGGACGAAGAAAGUGACGGUACCUGCAGAAUAAGCUCCGGCUAACUACGUGCCAGCAGCCGCGGUAAUACGUAGGGAGCGAGCGUUAUCCGGAUUUACUGGGUGUAAAGGGCGCGUAGGCGGGAAUGCAAGUCAGAUGUGAAAUCUCCGGGCUCAACCCGGAAACUGCAUUUGAAACUGUAUUUCUUGAGUGAUGGAGAGGCAAGUGGAAUUCCUAGUGUAGCGGUGAAAUGCGUAGAUAUUAGGAGGAACACCAGUGGCGAAGGCGACUUGCUGGACAUUAACUGACGCUGAGGCGCGAAAGCGUGGGGAGCAAA
rnacentral:rRNA from 1 species